CCUGUGAUGCUCCUGUGUGAGUCGCAGAUGAAAAUAUACUUAAAAUGAGAUGUUUUCAGAUGUGUUCAUAUUGUUUUUGGAUCGUAGUGUUAGUUUCACUGCGGUGCUGCUGUGGAACUGGCCAAGUCUCGCUGAAGGUGGCUCCUGGUAUCAAUCUGUUUGAAGGCAGCUUCUUUGUGCUGAAAUGUGUCCCUGAAGAGCGAGCUGCAGACUGGACGGUCCACAGGAACGCCACCGCCCGCCCUGUCCCCCAGCGCUGUGGUCAGGGCUGGGGCAAAUAGCUGAGUAACAGCUGUAAGGUGGGACUGGCCGUGACGUGGGACAGCGGGCUGUACUGGUGCCAGUCCACAGAGGGCGCCAUCAGCAGCACAGUCGGCGUCAGAGUGGCCAGGGGUAAACUCUUGGUGGUAGUGCCGUUCUUCCCGGUGUCUGAGGGCGAGGACGUGACCCUGAGCUGUUUGAACCGGAGCCGUUCCACCGUGUCCGCACACUUCUACAAGGACGACCUCCAAGUGACCUCUGACCCCCGCCCCGACCUCCGCCUCCGCGCUGUGAGCUGGUCUGAGCGGGGCUCGUACAAGUGCAGCACUGGAGCCACGGAGUCGUCACCCGUUCUGCUGCAAGUCCACAACCGCAGUUGGACAGAGACAGAGGUCCCUCCCACAAGCUCUACGUCUGACUCCGCCCACAUGCACAUGGUCUCGAGGCUGCUCUGCCUCCUGCUGGUCUUCUGCCCGUACUGCAUCUCCACAGGGCUCAUGGUCUCCCUGUGUCGACAACAAAGACUCAACGGUAAACACUGAAACUGAAACCUGAACCAGGUCUAAAGCAGGUCUAAAGCAGGUCUA